rnacentral:lncRNA from 1 species
CAGGGAAACUUCCUAUUAGGAAUGGCUUCCUUUCAGGUUGUGUUGUUACAGACCAGACUAUUCUAACAGAGCGGGGGAGAUGGAUAACUAAUCUAAUACAGUACAGCUAUCAUCGGGCAAUAGCGCAGAUAAGAUCAGACUGAAUGUGUGAAGGAUAUGGUUCUGGUUCUCUUCUGUCCCGUUCCUUCAAUCAAAGAAGAAUCCAUGCUCAGGGCUAGUGCCAGCGCAU